UAGUAUGUAAUUAUAGUGUUUAUUAUGAAGCCUUUUCAUAUGGCAAAUUUUAUGCAGCACACAUUUCUUUUUACUAACUUUAUUUUGGAUUGAGAUUAUAUUAUAUAUCCUUUGGCUUUUUGCAGUUAGGAGAGGACCCUUGCGGAUACUUUGCCAUCUGUUGUCCUCACAUUGCCUCUACAAUUGUGCGCUUUUUUGGCCCUUUGAAUUGUUCCAUUCACGCCCAGGUUAUUAUACUUUUUACAAGAUACCCCGACUAGUUCUAAUUUGCCCAGUGGUGUAUGGUGAAUGUGGGUAUGACCUAUAAUACCAGACUCCACCUUAUAAGGUAAAUGGUCUGAUUACAAUUUGCAUCUUGGACGCUGUUGAGCAUUCUUCAAAUCUACUAAGCACCGUUUAUCGAAGCUCCCGAAGAAGCGACGACGUCGCGAAACAUGUCGAGCUGAACCCCAUUUUAAUCAGAACUCAUCCUGUACCAUCUUUCGAAGUUACAACGCCACCCAGCGCCUAUAGUGUAUUCUAUACAUCCAGCCCUGUGGCUAAUAGCGGUGUCU